GCUACUCAAAUAAAGCAUACGGUGGAUGCCUUGGAAUAAUGUGCCGAAGAAGGACGUAUAAGGCCGCGAAAGUCGUCGGUGAGGAGCCAUAAUCCUUUGACCCGGCGGUGUCCGAAUGGGGUAACCCCUGCCAUGGUAACAUGGCGGUGCCACGUUACGCAUGGAAAUUCUAAACACUAAUUUCUAAACUCUAAAUAAAUUCCCAAUGUUUAAUUAUUUAAACUUUGAAUUUAAAUAUUGUUUAGGAUUUAGGAUUUCAAAUUUAGGAUUUUCACGCGUAGCGUGGCAGGUAACCCGGAGAACUGAAACAUCUAAGUACCCGGAGGAAAAUAAAUCGAAUGAGAUUCCCUUAGUAAGCGGUGAGCGAAAAGGGAAUAGUCUAAACCGAGAUUUAUCUCGGUGUUGCAGGACCAGACAUAACGUAUUAAUCGGUUAGAAGAACAACGUGGAAUAGUUGGCCAUAGAACGUGAAAGCCGUGUAAUCGAAAACCUGAGAAUAUCAGUUUGGCACCUAAGUACGUUCGGAGACGGCAAACUCCGUGCGGAAUCCGCCCCGACCACGGGGCAAGACUAAAUACACAUUAUUACCGAUAGUGAACGAGUACCGUGAGGGAAAGGUGAAAAGAUGGGUGAGACACCCAGUGAAAUAGUACCUGAAACCGUAUGCUAACAAACAGACAGAGUCCGGAUUUAUCCGGAUGAUGUCGUGCCUAUUGAAGAAUGACCCGUCGAGUUUGCAUGUACUGCAAGUCUAAGUGAUAUCGUCACGGAGGCGUAGUGAAAGCGAGGAUGAAUAGUCCGUUUAGCAGUGCGUCCAAGACCCGAAACCGGUGUGAGCUAACCAUGAGCAGGUUGAACCCCAAGUAAAAUUGGGGGAAGGACCGAACCGUUGUGAGCUGCAAAUCGCUCGGAUGACUUGUGGUUAGGGGUAAUAUGCCAAUCGAACCCGGAGAUAGCUGGUUCUCCCCGAAAUAUAUUUAGGUAUAGCCUCAAGUGAUUGCAUGUGUGGGGGUAGAGCACUGAAAAGGUGCGAGGUCGCAAGGCCUUUCAUUUUAUCAAACUCCGAAUACCAUCAUGUUCAGCUUGGGAGUCAGUCCCUGGGAGCUAAGUUCCAGGGGCAAAAGGGUAACAUCCCAGAUCGUCAAUUAAGGUCUCAAAAUCAUUACUAAGUGGGUCAAGGAAGUCAUUGUCCAUAAACAGCUAGGAGGUCGGCUCAGAAGCAGCCAUCCUUGAAAGAAAGCGUAACAGCUCACUAGUCGAUGGAAGGUGGCGCCGAAGAUUCAUCGAGGCUCAAGUAAUGUACCGAAGUUGCGGAUUGUCCGCCUCAGGCGGAUUCUGGUAGGGGAGCGUUCCAACAGCAGUGAAGUCGUUUUGUAAGAAACGGUGGAGCGGUUGGAAGUGAGAAUGGCGGGAUGAGUAGCGAGAUGGAGGUGAGAAUCCUCCACACCGAAUGUUCAAGGUUUCCCACGCAACGUUUGUCGACGUGGGGUUAGGCGGCCCUAAGGUGAGGCUGGUGUAGUGCCGGCGUAGCCGAUGGAUAACAGGUUGAUAUUCCUGUCCUAUAAAAUGAUCGUUAUUAACUGGGGAGGGACGACCUAGGAAAAGCAAAGCCCAUUAUUGAAUUUGGGUCUAAGCGUCGAGACAGAAGAGUAUUGGAAAAUCCGUACUCUCCGUUAUUACUCGAGGCGCAAUAGGGAAUUUCAGCUUCGGCUGGAGUGACUUUGUGUAUUUCUGGGCCCAAGAAAAUCUUCACAGUGAGAGUAUUUGAUAGCCGUACCGCAAACCGACACAGGUGAACUGGUAGAGUAUACCAAGGUGGACGAGAGAACCUUCCUUAAGGAACUCGGCAAAUUAGCUAGGCGUAACUUAGGGAGAUGCCUAUUCCGCAAAUUUUGUACUUGUACAAAAUUCUGCGGAACGCAGAUAAAGAAUUCAAAGUGACUGUUUAACAAAAACACAGGUCUGUGCGAAGGCGUAAGCCGACGUAUACGGGCUGAGGCCUGCCCAGUGCCAGAAGGUUAACUGAGAGGAUAACCCCGACUUGUUCGGGCUAGUCUUUGAUUGAAGCCCUGGUGAACGGCAGCAGUAACUAUAACUGUUCUAUGGUUAAGGAUAUAAAAAUCGUUGCCAUAGUGAGGUAGUCAAACCUCUUUCACUCGCGUGCAGAAAAAACGAGUGAAGAAAAUAUCGCUAUAUGCUGGAAGAGCUCAGUAUCUGACAGUACUACCAUGAUUCGAAUCAUAGUAGUGACAAUCUGUUCAGUGGAGCAAAUCAGCAGGAAAGAUCUUGCAUAAGAGAGUAGAAUACACAUUCUAUGGAAGACCUUGAUAGUUUAAUAUCUAAUGAAUCAAUUGAACGGGCAGGGAAUAUUUUCGAUCAACUUAAAGAAAUAGGUUUUAUCGGGACAAUUCUCCUACCGGUCAUUUGGUUUUUAGGAAAACUGUCAAAAUCUGAAGAAUUUAAGUGGUAAUUUAUUUUCCAGCAAGAAAUCCUCAGAGACUAAACGCGAUACUUUUACGAAAGUAAAUGAAGAUAUAGUCCGAUCUCAUGAGCGAUCAUGAGUUAACACAAAUAUGAGCGAAAUUCCUUGUCGGGCAAGUUCCGACCUGCACGAAUGGCGUAACAACUUUGAAACUGUCUUGAGGAGGGACUCGGCGAAAUUGAAAUGGCUGUGAAGAUGCGGCCUACUGACAACAGGACAAAAAGACCCCGUGGAGCUUUACUGUACCUUGACACUGAAUUUUAUGUUUUGACUGUGUAGCAUAGGCGGGAGCCGCAAGGCGACAAGUGUAAUACCGCUCUUUGAAACGUGAGAUUCUUACCCGUCCCGACUGGAUCGUCGGGGGGGACACUGUCUGGGAGGCAGUUUAACUGGGGAGGUUGCUUGCUAAAGAGUACCGC
rnacentral:rRNA from 1 species